rnacentral:piRNA from 1 species
UGAUACUGGGUCAGGGAUCUUAGCG